rnacentral:tRNA from 1 species
GAGGGUGUAGCUCAGGGGCAGAGCACGUGCUUCGUGUACACGAGGUCCUGGGUUCAACCCCCAGCACCUCCG